rnacentral:rRNA from 1 species
AUGAACGCUAGCUACAGGCUUAACACAUGCAAGUCGAGGGGCAUCAGGAAGAAAGCUUGCUUUCUUUGCUGGCGACCGGCGCACGGGUGAGUAACACGUAUCCAACCUGCCCUUUACUCGGGGAUAGCCUUUCGAAAGAAAGAUUAAUACCCGAUAGCAUAAUGAUUCCGCAUGGUUUCAUUAUUAAAGGAUUCCGGUAAAGGAUGGGGAUGCGUUCCAUUAGGUUGUUGGUGAGGUAACGGCCCACCAAGCCUUCGAUGGAUAGGGGUUCUGAGAGGAAGGUCCCCCACAUUGGAACUGAGACACGGUCCAAACUCCUACGGGAGGCAGCAGUGAGGAAUAUUGGUCAAUGGGCGCUAGCCUGAACCAGCCAAGUAGCGUGAAGGAUGAAGGCUCUAUGGGUCGUAAACUUCUUUUAUAUAAGAAUAAAGUGCAGUAUGUAUACUGUUUUGUAUGUAUUAUAUGAAUAAGGAUCGGCUAACUCCGUGCCAGCAGCCGCGGUAAUACGGAGGAUCCGAGCGUUAUCCGGAUUUAUUGGGUUUAAAGGGAGCGUAGGUGGACUGGUAAGUCAGUUGUGAAAGUUUGCGGCUCAACCGUAAAAUUGCAGUUGAUACUGUCAGUCUUGAGUACAGUAGAGGUGGGCGGAAUUCGUGGUGUAGCGGUGAAAUGCUUAGAUAUCACGAAGAACUCCGAUUGCGAAGGCAGCUCACUGGACUGCAACUGACACUGAUGCUCGAAAGUGUGGGUAUCAAACAGGAUUAGAUACCCUGGUAGUCCACACAGUAAACGAUGAAUACUCGCUGUUUGCGAUAUACAGUAAGCGGCCAAGCGAAAGCAUUAAGUAUUCCACCUGGGGAGUACGCCGGCAACGGUGAAACUCAAAGGAAUUGACGGGGGCCCGCACAAGCGGAGGAACAUGUGGUUUAAUUCGAUGAUACGCGAGGAACCUUACCCGGGCUUAAAUUGCAGUGGAAUGAUGUGGAAACAUGUCAGUGAGCAAUCACCGCUGUGAAGGUGCUGCAUGGUUGUCGUCAGCUCGUGCCGUGAGGUGUCGGCUUAAGUGCCAUAACGAGCGCAACCCUUAUCUUUAGUUACUAACAGGUCAUGCUGAGGACUCUAGAGAGACUGCCGUCGUAAGAUGUGAGGAAGGUGGGGAUGACGUCAAAUCAGCACGGCCCUUACGUCCGGGGCUACACACGUGUUACAAUGGGGGGUACAGAAGGCAGCUAGCGGGUGACCGUAUGCUAAUCCCAAAAGCCUCUCUCAGUUCGGAUCGAAGUCUGCAACCCGACUUCGUGAAGCUGGAUUCGCUAGUAAUCGCGCAUCAGCCACGGCGCGGUGAAUACGUUCCCGGGCCUUGUACACACCGCCCGUCAAGCCAUGGGAGCCGGGGGUACCUGAAGUACGUAACCGCAAGGAUCGUCCUAGGGUAAAACUGGUGACUAGGGCU